rnacentral:lncRNA from 10 species
CAUAUGUAUCCUUCUGAGGAAACAGAAAAAUAAACUGUUGAAGUUCUUUGCUGAAAGCAAUGAAGAAAAGUUAAUGUAAAGAAGAAAAACACUGCUAAUCAAGCUACAGAUGAAAAACUCCAUCUUGUAUUAAAAGAAUGAUAUUGACUUAAUCAAUUUAGCCAUGUGACCAGGGUAUCCUUAGAUCAAAGAAGAGUAAAUAUAAAAACGCUUUCUUGAGUAGCACGCUAGCAGCAGUGAAUAGAGGCACAGGUGUGGAAGAUUUUUAAAAGGAGUUUAGCAUGAAAUGAUUGCUUAUCAGUAGUAGCAUAUAAAUUCAGAGUCAGGAAUGAUGGAGGUGCCAAACAACAAGAUUGUCCCCACGGGUGGCUGAGAU